rnacentral:piRNA from 1 species
UUCCUUGAGUCCAACAGCAUCUUGCCCUGAU